rnacentral:rRNA from 1 species
UACGUAGGGUUCAAGCGUUAAUCGGAAUUACUGGGCGUAAAGCGUGCGCAGGCGGUUUUGUAAGUCUGACGUGAAAUCCCCGGGCUCAACCUGGGAAUUGCGUUGGAGACUGCAAGGCUGGAGUCUGGCAGAGGGGGGUAGAAUUCCACGUGUAGCAGUGAAAUGCGUAGAGAUGUGGAGGAACACCGAUGGCGAAGGCAGCCCCCUGGGUCAAGACUGACGCUCAUGCACGAAAGCGUGGGGAGCAAACAGG